rnacentral:rRNA from 1 species
GAGUUUGAUCAUGGCUCAGAAUGAACGCUGGUGGCGUGCCUAACACAUGCAAGUCGAACGAGAAACCUCGGGCUUGCUCGAGGAAGUAAAGUGGCGGACGGGUGAGUAACGCGUGGGUAACCUGCCCUUGAAACCGGGAUAACCUGCCGAAAGGCAGACUAAUACCGGAUAAAGUCCUUAUGGCUAUGGCUUUAAGGAUGAAAGAUGACCUCUUCAUGAAAGUUGUCGUUCAGGGAGGGGCCCGCGUACCAUUAGCUUGUUGGUGGGGUAAUGGCCUACCAAGGCUACGAUGGUUAGCUGGUCUGAGAGGAUGAUCAGCCACACUGGAACUGAAACACGGUCCAGACUCCUACGGGAGGCAGCAGUGAGGAAUUUUGCGCAAUGGGGGAAACCCUGACGCAGUAACGCCGCGUGAGUGAAGAAGGCUUUCGGGUCGUAAAGCUCUGUCAAGUGGGAAAAAAUUCUUAUGGUCAAUAGCCAUAAGAACUGAUGGUACCAUUGAAGGAAGCACCGGCUAACUCCGUGCCAGCAGCCGCGGUAAUACG